UCUGCCUCCUUCCUUUCUCUUUGAGGCCUAAAAGCAGAAGUGAAGUUGAGGUUUCCUGAUGCAAGCAGAACCUCAUCAGGUGAGGAGCCUGAGGAAUCUUUUCCCAUUCACAGUGUUCUGGGAGUGAAUCUAAAGUGAAACUUGGGCAUCCUCAAUACUAAGAAGUCUCUGAGAAUGGCUGGGUCUGGACUCUUGGGUCUUACCUCCACGUCACCAGGAAAUGUGAUCGUGUAAAAUUCUUAGGGGGAUUAAUCGCAAGGACUUCCGGAAGCCACUUGGCCACUCACGCGACCAUAAGACGAAUACACAGUCACGUAACCACCAUGGAUCAGGCCAGUGUCGACCUCUCUUAAAAUCUUUGUCCACCACUUCUGUCCUUGGAGAUUCAUUAUAUUUGACUUGUUGCUCUUGUUGGUCAUCACCAACACUUGAUGUGACUUUUUGCUUAAAAAAAAAAAGAAAAACUUUCUAUUAAAAUAAAAAGUUAUAUUCACUGCAGAAAAUUUGAAGAAAUAUUACUUUGUGAGGAAAAAGAAAAAUGGAAUAAAAGAAAAGAACUCUCCAUGACACCAAAUCUUUUAAAAUAUUUGGUAUAUUUCCAUCUGGUUUUAUUUAUUUAAUCUGUUUUUAAUGUGUAUACACUUUCCUGAGUGUGUGUACACUUUCCUGACCAUAAACUGUGUAUAAGAUCUGAGUAUUGUCUUUAUAUAAACUAACAUACACUGAUGCCACUCAAGGUGUGGUCUGUGAACGAGGCACAGAAUGAUGCAUGCGUGGGCAUCUCCAAGGAGGUUUUUAGAAAUGCAGAAUCUAGGCUCCACCCCAGGUCUACUUGAAUCAGAAUUUGCAUUUUGACAAGAUCCCUGGGUGAUUCACAUUAAAGUUUGAGAAGCAUUGACAUAUAUGCUGGAUUUAGUCUGUAUCCUGCUUUGUCACUUACCAAAAAUAAAACUUUUUUUUUUUUUAUAUUCUCCAUUAAUUGUUAAGAAUGCCAUGGAAAUAAUACUCUGUAGAAUUAUGAAAACAUUUAGAGGUUGCAAAAGAGUGAAAUAUAUACUGGUUUAUGAAUUGGCAAAGAGAUCUCUAAAAAGCUUUAUAAUGUUUUUUUAAAGAGCCUUAUUCUAAAGUUUUUCCUAAUGAAACAUUGAUUAUUGGAGUUCAAACUAUUUCAGAAAUGUUGUUUUAUUGUCUGAGAAUGUGAAACAAUACUUUAAAACCCCUUCAGGGAAGAAGGCCAGAAAGUCAUUAAAGAAAGCACAAGGGGCUGGCCCACUGGCAGAUUGGUUAAGUUCCACACUCCGCUUCAGUGGCCCAGAGUUUCACUGGUUUAGAUCCCGGGUGCGGACCUAGUACCACUCAUCAAGCCAUGAUGAGGUGGCAUCCCACAUAGCACAACUAGAGGGACCUACAACUAGAAUAUACAACUGUGUACUGGGGGGCUUUGGGGAGAAGAAAAAGAGGAAGAUCGGCAACAGAUGUUAACUCAGGGCCAAUCUUUUAAAAAAUAAGAGGGGAAGGCAGACUGAAAAAUAAUUGGUAUAUAAUUCUCAUGCAGUACCCUACGUUCAGUGAAAUAAAAAUUUAAAAAAAG
ensembl:lncRNA